UUAAGCGACUAAGCGUACACGGUGGAUGCCCUGGCAGUCAGAGGCGAUGAAGGACGUGCUAAUCUGCGAUAAGCGUCGGUGAGGUGAUAUGAACCGUUAUAACCGGCGAUUUCCGAAUGGGGAAACCCAGUGUGUUUCGACACACUAUCAUUAACUGAAUCCAUAGGUUAAUGAGGCGAACCGGGGGAACUGAAACAUCUAAGUACCCCGAGGAAAAGAAAUCAACCGAGAUUCCCCCAGUAGCGGCGAGCGAACGGGGAGGAGCCCAGAGCCUGAAUCAGUGUGUGUGUUAGUGGAAGCGUCUGGAAAGGCGCGCGAUACAGGGUGACAGCCCCGUACACAAAAAUGCACAUAUUGUGAGCUCGAUGAGUAGGGCGGGACACGUGGUAUCCUGUCUGAAUAUGGGGGGACCAUCCUCCAAGGCUAAAUACUCCUGACUGACCGAUAGUGAACCAGUACCGUGAGGGAAAGGCGAAAAGAACCCCGGCGAGGGGAGUGAAAAAGAACCUGAAACCGUGUACGUACAAGCAGUGGGAGCCUCUUUAUGGGGUGACUGCGUACCUUUUGUAUAAUGGGUCAGCGACUUAUAUUCUGUAGCAAGGUUAACCGAAUAGGGGAGCCGAAGGGAAACCGAGUCUUAACUGGGCGUUAAGUUGCAGGGUAUAGACCCGAAACCCGGUGAUCUAGCCAUGGGCAGGUUGAAGGUUGGGUAACACUAACUGGAGGACCGAACCGACUAAUGUUGAAAAAUUAGCGGAUGACUUGUGGCUGGGGUGAAAGGCCAAUCAAACCGGGAGAUAGCUGGUUCUCCCCGAAAGCUAUUUAGGUAGCGCCUCGUGAAUUCAUCUCCGGGGUAGAGCACUGUUUCGGCAAGGGGGUCAUCCCGACUUACCAACCCGAUGCAAACUGCGAAUACCGGAGAAUGUUAUCACGGGAGACACACGGCGGGUGCUAACGUCCGUCGUGAAGAGGGAAACAACCCAGACCGCCAGCUAAGGUCCCAAAGUCAUGGUUAAGUGGGAAACGAUGUGGGAAGGCCCAGACAGCCAGGAUGUUGGCUUAGAAGCAGCCAUCAUUUAAAGAAAGCGUAAUAGCUCACUGGUCGAGUCGGCCUGCGCGGAAGAUGUAACGGGGCUAAACCAUGCACCGAAGCUGCGGCAGCGACACUAUGUGUUGUUGGGUAGGGGAGCGUUCUGUAAGCCUGUGAAGGUGGCCUGUGAGGGUUGCUGGAGGUAUCAGAAGUGCGAAUGCUGACAUAAGUAACGAUAAAGCGGGUGAAAAGCCCGCUCGCCGGAAGACCAAGGGUUCCUGUCCAACGUUAAUCGGGCAGGGUGAGUCGACCCCUAAGGCGAGGCCGAAAGGCGUAGUCGAUGGGAAACAGGUUAAUAUUCCUGUACUUGGUGUUACUGCGAAGGGGGGACGGAGAAGGCUAUGUUGGCCGGGCGACGGUUGUCCCGGUUUAAGCGUGUAGGCUGGUUUUCCAGGCAAAUCCGGAAAACCAAGGCUGAGGCGUGAUGACGAGGCACUACGGUGCUGAAGCGACAAAUGCCCUGCUUCCAGGAAAAGCCUCUAAGCAUCAGGUAACAUCAAAUCGUACCCCAAACCGACACAGGUGGUCAGGUAGAGAAUACCAAGGCGCUUGAGAGAACUCGGGUGAAGGAACUAGGCAAAAUGGUGCCGUAACUUCGGGAGAAGGCACGCUGAUAUGUAGGUGAAGCGACUUGCUCGUGGAGCUGAAAUCAGUCGAAGAUACCAGCUGGCUGCAACUGUUUAUUAAAAACACAGCACUGUGCAAACACGAAAGUGGACGUAUACGGUGUGACGCCUGCCCGGUGCCGGAAGGUUAAUUGAUGGGGUUAGCGGUAACGCGAAGCUCUUGAUCGAAGCCCCGGUAAACGGCGGCCGUAACUAUAACGGUCCUAAGGUAGCGAAAUUCCUUGUCGGGUAAGUUCCGACCUGCACGAAUGGCGUAAUGAUGGCCAGGCUGUCUCCACCCGAGACUCAGUGAAAUUGAACUCGCUGUGAAGAUGCAGUGUACCCGCGGCAAGACGGAAAGACCCCGUGAACCUUUACUAUAGCUUGACACUGAACAUUGAGCCUUGAUGUGUAGGAUAGGUGGGAGGCUUUGAAGUGUGGACGCCAGUCUGCAUGGAGCCGACCUUGAAAUACCACCCUUUAAUGUUUGAUGUUCUAACGUUGGCCCGUAAUCCGGGUUGCGGACAGUGUCUGGUGGGUAGUUUGACUGGGGCGGUCUCCUCCUAAAGAGUAACGGAGGAGCACGAAGGUUGGCUAAUCCUGGUCGGACAUCAGGAGGUUAGUGCAAUGGCAUAAGCCAGCUUGACUGCGAGCGUGACGGCGCGAGCAGGUGCGAAAGCAGGUCAUAGUGAUCCGGUGGUUCUGAAUGGAAGGGCCAUCGCUCAACGGAUAAAAGGUACUCCGGGGAUAACAGGCUGAUACCGCCCAAGAGUUCAUAUCGACGGCGGUGUUUGGCACCUCGAUGUCGGCUCAUCACAUCCUGGGGCUGAAGUAGGUCCCAAGGGUAUGGCUGUUCGCCAUUUAAAGUGGUACGCGAGCUGGGUUUAGAACGUCGUGAGACAGUUCGGUCCCUAUCUGCCGUGGGCGCUGGAGAACUGAGGGGGCUGCUCCUAGUACGAGAGGACCGGAGUGGACGCAUCACUGGUGUUCGGGUUGUCAUGCCAAUGGCACUGCCCGGUAGCUAAAUGCGGAAGAGAUAAGUGCUGAAAGCAUCUAAGCACGAAACUUGCCCCGAGAUGAGUUCUCCCUGACUCCUUGAGAGUCCUGAAGGAACGUUGAAGACGACGACGUUGAUAGGCCGGGUGUGUAAGCGCAGCGAUGCGUUGAGCUAACCGGUACUAAUGAACCGUGAGGCUUAACCU
rnacentral:rRNA from 1 species